UCCGCAGCAGGCAGUGUUGUGUCGACUACGUCUGGAUAGCAACUCAUCUCCAUCCUCGCCCCAAGCAGUGUCGCCUCACCUCUACUUCCUCGCCUAAGCGGUACCGCCUAUGGUCUCCGCUUCACCGCCAAUGGUGAGAUUUCUUUGUUAUUUUUGUCAUUUAGCCAUUAGUAAUCUUGUAAUGGGCAUUGAUAUAGUGUUGAAAUUUUCUUGGUUACUCAGCUAUUUCAGAUGUAAAAAUGAUGUUAUAUAGGGUUGAAAUUGUGCGAUUAUUCUCAGGUGUUUGUUUUUGUUUCUUGAAGUCUGAUUUACUCAGCAAGGAAGGGAUGUGAUACUGUAUAAUGUUUAUCAGGAGCAUGGUAGCCCAGUGGCAAAAGCUUCUAUGUAUGCAGUUGGAAGUGGAUAAGUGUCAGGCUCUUCCUACAGGAUGUCUACUAGUUCAGUUCUAGUCAUAAACAAAGGUGAUAGUUGCUUGUACUUUGCUCAGUUACUUUGAUGUCAACAUUUGAGUUCUACAUAAUAUAGUUUUUUUUUAAAAAAAAAAAACUAUAUUAUGUAGAAUGAUAGAUUUUCCUUCCAUAUCAUGUAUAAUUGAUCCAUUUCUUUCCAUAACUAUAUCAUGUAUAAUGAUUGAUUUCUGUUUGUAGCAAUGCGACCACAAGCAAGCUUAUAAGAUGCAUUGAUUUCUGUUCUUUGUAGCCACCAGCCAUCUAUGAUCAAAGGCCACAUAUUCUGCUUUAAAUUGUUUAUCAAGUUUUGAGUUGCUAACCACAUAUGCCACGUGGUUACAUGCUCUGUCUUUAGGUAACACUCCCUCUGUUUAUGCAGUUAUGCUUUAUCUGAUUGGUUCAAAAUAAUUUGUAUUGGCAAUAACUCUCGGGUUUUUAAUAUAGUAUUUUUCUGUUAGUUUUCCAUAUCUCAAAAAUAGGGCAACAUGAUUUGUUAUUAUGUGCCGCUCUUCAAAAUUUGCGGGAGAUUCUUUUUUGUGAAUCUGGGUCUGUCUAGGACACAUCUAGAUGUGACAUAGUUAUGUCACAUCUAAGCCGAUGUCCACUCUGUUUGUGGUCCAUUUUUUUCCUAGUUUUUUUGUUUCUUGUUGUUGCAUUAUAUAUUUGCGGGAGCUUAGAUGUGACAUGCUUAAAAAACAUCUAGAUGUGAAUAAGACAAACUGAAUCUCAAAGGAUACACUAGCUAUUGUCUACUGGUACUAGAUAUGACAUUUGGCCUGCUUUCCUGAAUUAGUUGAGAUAUGGUAAUAUUUAUCUGCUUUAGUUCAGAUAAAGAUGUGUUUCAUGGGUUCUCUCACCUACUCAUAUCCAGGUUCCAGGUCCUAUUUCAUUACCUUAGAGUACUACUUGGCCAGCUAAUGCAUAUCCUAGCCUCUAGUAUGUAAACAAUACUUGAGCUAAUUGAGGAAGGCCUCUUGAGUAAUAUGGUUGAUCUAAUUAUGUAAUAAUGAUUGCUUGCUAUGAUGAAGUGUUACACAUUUAGAAGAUUUUUAUUUAUGUCGAUGAGUUAAACUGCAGCACAUCAAAAUCUUCAAUGUGUUAAUUUAAAAUCAAAUGAGAGCUCCAUUUGAGUUUCUGUUCUGUUGCAGGCUUCCCAAGGGUACAUAAGUUGAUGGAGUUGUGGAAGAUCUGCAAGCUGCUGGAGGUUUGGAAGACCUACAGUUAAUUUGGUCAAGUGAUAUAUGCCUCGUUUGCUGAACCCAGAGACAUUGGCAAGUUUUCCUAUGCUUAUUUGGUGGUUGUUUUGGUACACAAGCCAUUAUGUGCUCAUUUUGGUUGUGUGACGCAUAUAAAAACAUAUGUACUGAACCUUUUGUAGCACGAGCUCCUUGUAUAUGGUCGUUUCAUACAUGUAUCUAGAAACAUGUGUAUUUGGUCUGGCAUGUGUAAUUGAAUGAAGUUUAAGGUUGAUUGAAGUGUAUGUAUGUGCAAGUUGUGUGAUCUUUCCUGAUUGCCCGAGGACAAUGAAUGGAUAUUAAAUCAGGUAUAAGUUGCUCGAUGGAUGGAUAAUAAAUUAG
rnacentral:lncRNA from 1 species